CAAGCGCCCCUAGCGUCACUUUUAUGACGCCAAAUGUGCCUCUCGGCGUCGACUAUCGAAGCACUACGACCUUCAUUGCUUUCAGUGGGAAACUUUUGGCGUCAGAAUUCGACACGAGGACAUGAGAUGUUUAUCGCUAUGAAAUCACGUUCAAGAAGUCUCAUUCAGCACACAUCGCGCGAUACUUGCUAUCAUUUCCACAGUUUGGCUGAAAAGACGUAAAGGCAGUCAGCCCAGUGGUGUUUCUGGAGAGGGAUUCCUUCAGAAAUGGAGAAGACAGAAAGCUGCGGAGGCAGAUAUUUGCAGCAUGUUCGAGUGAGCAUGAUGACCACGAGUGUGUGUCGAACUUUUCAUGACCUGAUGACUGUGUUUCCCAAUCCUGAUCCUGGAGAACCCCAGCACUGCACGGUUUUGGCGUCUCUCUUAUCUGCCUUGGAGUCUUCACUGAUGAGCUGAUGAGUUGAAUCAGGUGUGUUUGAUCAGGGAGACAUCUCAAAUGUGCAGUGUUGGGCUUCUCCAGGACCAGGAUUGGGAGCCACUGCCUUAUGGGACACUUAUGUGUUUAAAGAGAUUUUUAAUAUCUAAUUAUCAAUAUUUCACAUACUGUACAUUGGACAGCUUUCCAUGACCUUUUGUGAGACCUCGGCAAAAAGUCUGACGAUUUAUUCCAAAACAUGAUGCAUGAUGGGAUACACUAAGCUUUGUAUAGCGCUCCGGAGCAGUAUUGGAGAGGUUUAGUGUGUGUUUAGGACGCUGUGCUUUGGCAUUAUUAAGACCGGGGACAGUCUCGUUCACACGCUGUCACGUACACACACUCUCAAGUGGCCAAGACUGCAAGUGUGGGUAUCUGGACAGGGUCAAAGUCUUAAAAAUGAUCCCUAAACACAGUCGCACAUCACAGUCUUAAUAAUCCAGUUUAACACUUGUAUGAUAUUAUACAAGCCCCAGGACGGUCUCAUCUGACACUAUCAAAAGAAUUCAUAUGACUAUAGCUUGUUAUUAAUUACUUGCUUUCAAUAAUGGAUGCAUUUAACAUUUAAUUAUACAGCAUCUUUACAGAGGUGUAAUGUACAAGUUGCACGUAAUUAAUAAUAUUUCCUUCCUUCUG